rnacentral:rRNA from 1 species
CUCGUAGGUGGUUUGUCGCGUCGUCUGUGAAAUUCCGGGGCUUAACUCCGGGCGUGCAGGCGAUACGGGCAUAACUUGAGUGCUGUAGGGGAGACUGGAAUUCCUGGUGUAGCGGUGAAAUGCGCAGAUAUCAGGAGGAACACCGAUGGCGAAGGCAGGUCUCUGGGCAGUAACUGACGCUGAGGAGCGAAAGCAUGGGUAGCGAACA